rnacentral:rRNA from 1 species
UGGGGAAUAUUGCACAAUGGGCGAAAGCCUGAUGCAGCAACGCCGCGUGAGGGAAGACGGUUUUCGGAUUGUAAACCUCUGUCUUCGGUGAAGAAAAAAAUGACGGUAGCCGAGGAGGAAGCUCCGGCUAACUACGUGCCAGCAGCCGCGGUAAUACGGAGGGAGGAAGCGGUGGCAGGAAUUAAUGGGUGUAAAGGGGGCGUAGGCGGGAUGACAAGUCAGCUGUGAAUUACAGGGGCUUAACCCAUGAACUGCAUUUGAAACUGUGUUCUUGAGUGAAGUAGAGGCAGGCGGAAUUCCGAGUGUAGCGGUGAAAUGCGUAGAUAUUCGGAGGAACACCAGUGGCGAAGGCGGCCUGCUGGGCUUUAACUGACGCUGAGGCUCGAAAGUGUGGGGAGCAAACA